rnacentral:rRNA from 1 species
GCAAACAGGAUUAGAUACCCUGGUAGUCCACGCCCUAAACGAUGUCAACUAGCUGUUGGGGUCUUCGGACCUUGGUAGCGCAGCUAACGCGUGAAGUUGACCGCCUGGGGAGUACGGUCGCAAGAUUAAAACUCAAAGGAAUUGACGGGGACCCGCACAAGCGGUGGAUGAUGUGGAUUAAUUCGAUGCAACGCGAAAAACCUUACCUACCCUUGACAUGUCUGGAAUUCCGAAGAGAUUUGGAAGUGCUCGCAAGAGAACCGGAACACAGGUGCUGCAUGGCUGUCGUCAGCUCGUGUCGUGAGAUGUUGGGUUAAGUCCCGCAACGAGCGCAACCCUUGUCAUUAGUUGCUACGAAAGGGCACUCUAAUGAGACUGCCGGUGACAAACCGGAGGAAGGUGGGGAUGACGUCAAGUCCUCAUGGCCCUUAUGGGUAGGGCUUCACACGUCAUACAAUGGUCGGGACAGAGGGUCGCCAACCCGCGAGGGGGAGCCAAUCCCAGAAACCCGAUCGUAGUCCGGAUCGCAGUCUGCAACUCGACUGCGUGAAGUCGGAAUCGCUAGUAAUCGCGGAUCAGCAUGUCGUGGUGAAUACGUUCCCGGGUCUU